CCCUUAGAUGUUCUGGGCUGCACGCGCGCUACACUGAAGCGUUCAACGAGUAUUCACCUUGCCCGGGAGGGUUGGGUAAUCUUUUGAAAACGCUUCGUGAUGGGGAUAGAUUAUUGCAAUUAUUAAUCUUCAACGAGGAAUUCCUAGUAAGCGCGAGUCAUCAGCUCGUGCUGAUUACGUCCCUGCCCUUUGUACACACCGCCCGUCGCUCCUACCGAUUGAGUGAUCUGGUGAAUAAUUCGGACUGCAGCACUGCUUGGUCUCCAGGCUUUGCAGCGGAAAGUUUAGUGAACCUUAUCACUUAGAGGAAGGAGAANUCGUANCA
rnacentral:rRNA from 1 species